rnacentral:lncRNA from 1 species
AAGCUAAUGCUUUAAUUUGAGGAUGUCCUUCUCACGAGUUGAAGUUCUUUGCUUUCGUCAGUCUCAUCCCCGAAGAUGGGAGAGAGGACUCAGAGGAAGAAACAUUAGAAGCUUGAAGUGACCUAACAGACUCUUGGUCCUGAGCCUCUUCGAAGGCAGCUUUGGCUUCCUCAACCUGGUCUUUCACUUCCAUAUUAUCAUGAAGAAGCGCAUCCUUGACGAAAAAAACAGAAAAGGACAAAAAGGCAAAAUCAAGACGGGAAGAAUUCUAGAUAAAAAUAAUCCAGAAGAAGGGUCAGCAUGACUGGAGUGUAUGAAGGAUGGCACUGACUCAAGAGGUAGCUGGGCAAUGGCGCUGGGCAAAGGUUGUCUCAAGCCUUCUUCACGGCAGACAAAGAAUCUCUCUUUGUUCAGGACCGUAAGACCUUCUUUAUUCCCCCAGGGAACCAUGGAGUUGACUUUGCCCAGCUGCCUUGAGAGACAUGCGUCAUAGGUUUUUCAGGUUAGAGUCUGUGGCUCCUGAGGCACUGUGUGCCUUCCAGUUCUGGAGAAACUGAGGCACUCCUUCAGGCAGUGAAGCAUUCAGGAUGCUUUGUUUUCCUCUGCAUGUUCCCUUAGAAGGCAAGGAAGCAUGGUAGCUUGGCAGGACAAUUGGUCUUAGACAUGAAUCUUGUGUACUCUGUAAUGUUUGCAAAUAUCACCAUAUCCUGGCAACUUCAAUCGUAUUGAUCCUGGCAAUCACCACUAUAUUCUAUUUCUCACAGGGGUGUAAAAUGUCUGUUUGCUCUUAAUAAAAUUGUCACAGCCUCAGUCUUACUAUGGCCCCUCCAACUGGAACCUGUUUAACUCCUGGACUGACCAUAUCAGGUAACCCUGCCCCAGUAAGUCUCCUAUAACUCCUGCUGUGUCCUUGUAGGCUGAGGCUCCCAAAGCUAGGGCUCAGUUCUGCCCAUGGCUCCUCUGGUUCCCUCAUGACUACUCUGCUGUGCCAGGAUGCACAAUCACAGUUAGUUAUUAUCCCCACAAUGUUGUCUGUCUAUCAUCCACUCAAGCAAAUGGAUAAAUGUUGGGUGUACUUGCCAGGUGGGCUGGAAGCCUUUUAAGCUUGUUAAACAA